AUUGAACGCUGGCGGCAGGCCUAACACAUGCAAGUCGAACGAGUGGCGGACGGGUGAGGAAUACAUCGGAAUCUCCUCUGUCGUGGGGGAUAACUUCUGGAAACUUUAGCUAAUACCGCAUACGAUUGAAUGAGCCGAUGUCGGAUUAGCUAGUUGGCGGGGUAACGGCGCACCAAGGCGACGAUCCCUAGCUGGUCUGAGAGGAUGAUCAGCCACACUGGAACUGAGACACGGUCCAGAGUCCGACGGGAGGCAGCAGUGGGGAAUAUUGGACAAUGGGCGCAAGCCUGAUCCAGCCAUACCGCGUGGGUGAAGAAGGCCUUCGGGUUGUAAAGUACUUUCGUCGGGAAAGCGGUACCCAAAGAAGAAGCACCGGCUAACUUCGUGCCAGCAGCCGCGGUAAUUC
rnacentral:rRNA from 1 species